UACGUAGGUGGCAAGCGUUGUCCGGAAUUACUGGGUGUAAAGGGAGCGCAGGCGGGAGGCCAAGUCAGCUGUGAAAACUACGGGCUUAACUUGUAGACUGCAGUUGAAACUGGUUUUCUUGAGUGAAGUAGAGGUUGGCGGAAUUCCGAGUGUAGCGGUGAAAUGCGUAGAUAUUCGGAGGAACACCGGUGGCGAAGGCGGCCAACUGGGCUUUUACUGACGCUGAGGCUCGAAAGUGUGGGGAGCAAACAGG
rnacentral:rRNA from 1 species